GAUGAAGAACGCAGCGAAAUGCGAUAAGUAAUGUGAAUUGCAGAAUUCAGUGAAUCAUCGAAUCUUUGAACGCACAUUGCGCCCCCUGGUAUUCCGGGGGGCAUGCCUGUCCGAGCGUCAUUGCUGCCCUCAAGCACGGCUUGUGUGUUGGGCUCCGUCCCCCCGGGGACGGGCCCGAAAGGCAGCGGCGGCACCGAGUCCGGUCCUCGAGCGUAUGGGGCUUUGUCACCCGCUCUGUAGGCCCGGCCGGCGCCAGCCGACAACCCAUCAUCCUUUUCAGGUUGACCUCGGAUCAGGUAGGGAUACCCGCUGAACUUAAGCAUACCAAUAAGCGGAGGA
rnacentral:misc_RNA from 1 species